rnacentral:lncRNA from 1 species
CUUCGGCCGUCGUCUCCGACGUUAAUAGCGACGGCGAUCCUCUCAUCCGUCAAGUUGUUUCCGAUGGUGGUGUCGAGGAGGACUCCGAUGACCAUCUCCUUAACGCGGAGCACCACUUCACGCUGUUCAAAUCCAAGUAUGGGAAAACCUACGCAUCCCAGGAGGAGCACGAUUACCGACUGGGAGUCUUCAAGGCUAACCUGCGUCGGGCCAAGCGUCAUCAGCUCCUGGACCCCAGUGCCGUCCAUGGCGUCACAAAGUUUUCCGAUUUAACUCCAUCGGAGUUCCGCCGCCAGUAUCUAGGCUUGAAACCGCUCAAGCUCCCAGCCGAUGCUCAAAAGGCUCCUAUCCUUCCGACUGACAACUUACCGGAUGACUUUGACUGGCGUGACCACGGCGCCGUCACUGGCGUUAAAGACCAGGUAAUAUUAGAAUAUAAUUAGUUUAAUCACGCAUAUCAUCCUUUUUAUGUCAUUAGUUAAAUUUCUCGCUUUGUUUAUGAUGAUUCUUAUUUGUUUAUGUUUAUAUUUAGGGUUCCUGUGGAUCGUGUUGGUCGUUCAGUGCGACGGGGGCUUUGGAGGGAGCCCAUUAUUUGGCGACAGGAGAGCUUGUAAGCUUGAGUGAGCAGCAACUUGUUGAUUGUGAUCAUGAGGUUUCAAUCUUUCUUACUUUUCUUUACAUCUCUUGAUUAUUUACCAAAAGAAUUUUAUCCUUCUACUUACAAGAAUUAAAAUCCUAAUUCUAUUAUUUUAAUUUAUCCGAAUUUAAUGAUGAUAUUUUAGUAAAAAUGAGAAGUUAAUUAAAUUGGGUUGAUAUUUUUAAACCUUGUAGCAAGUUAUAUGCAAGUAGUUUAACAAUUGAUUUGUAAUAAAUUAGUAAAAUUUACCUAUUUUAAUUCAUGUAUUUACUAACAACUGAACUAACUUGUCAGUUUUUGUGAAGUAUGACAACCCUUGUAGAGACUGAUGCUUUAGAUGGGUGAAAACUGUCUGUUAAGGAUGUUAAUUAACUGGGAAAACUUUGAUGCUGUUCUGUAAUUUCAAAAUUUUCUUUUACAUGGUUUUUGACUGCAAAUUCAGUGCUAACAUUUGGCUACCCGCUAGAAACACGCAUUAAUUAUCAAUCUAACAAACAACAAUCUUUCAACUAAAGAUUGGGUAUUUUACAGUGUGAUCCACAACAAUAUGGUGCGUGUGACUCAGGGUGUAAUGGUGGUCUAAUGACCUCUGCUUUCGAGUACACCCUGAAGGUUGGUGGACUUGAGAGAGAGAAGGAUUACCCUUACACUGGGAAUGACCGUGGUCCCUGCAAAUUUGACAAGACCAAAAUCGCUGCCUCUGUUUCUAACUUCAGUGUCAUUUCUGUUGAUGAGGAUCAAAUCGCUGCUAAUUUGGUGAAGCAUGGUCCCCUUGCUGGUAAGUUUCAUGCCGUUUGGAGUGUCUGUUACGGUCAUUGAUUUGUGAACGAAUCUAAUCUAAAUAUGUUUUGGUUCUUGCAGUGGGUAUCAAUGCAGUUUUCAUGCAGACAUAUAUGGGAGGGGUUUCAUGUCCUUAUAUUUGCUUUAGAACUUUGGAUCAUGGAGUUCUUCUGGUAGGGUAUGGAGCUGCUGGUUACUCCCCAAUCCGCUUUAAGGACAAGCCUUUCUGGAUCAUAAAGAAUUCAUGGGGAGCAAACUGGGGAGAGGACGGAUAUUACAAAAUAUGCAGAGGUCGCAAUGUUUGUGGAGUAGACUCCAUGGUCUCAAGUGUGGCGGCUUUGCAUACAAAGUCUCAGUAGCAUUGCCCUGUAAAUGACUGAUAUAAGUAACGGUAAUAUUAGUAUCCGUCAGUAUGUCUUAUCUCUGGAUAUGAACCUCUUUUUUCUUGGGCAAUGAUUUUCAUUGUACCAAAGAAAAGGGGUGUAUGCUAGAGAUGAUUAUUACUUAUUUGUGUUGUAACCAAGUGUUGUGAUGUAUAUCAGUCUACCUAUAUAUGAAUUUGGAACUUGGUAUUAUCUCUGGGCAGGCCAAUGGCAGAUUCCCCUUUAUUGUUUCUCCUUUUUCGCGGUAACUCUUGGCCUUGAUGAUGGUUGUAAUACAGAGAUGUUGAAUCCAGCUAUUGGAUACUAAUACUCG